GAUGAACGCUGGCGGCGUGCCUAAUACAUGCAAGUCGAGCGAACGGACGAGAAGCUUGCUUCUCUGAUGUUAGCGGCGGACGGGUGAGUAACACGUGGAUAACCUAUCUAUAAGACUGGGAUAACUUCGGGAAACCGGAGCUAAUACCGGAUAAUAUUUUGAACCGCUUGGUUCAAAAGUGAAAGACGGUCUUGCUGUCACUUAUAGAUGGAUCCGCGCUGCAUUAGCUAGUUGGUAAGGUAACGGCUUACCAAGGCAACGAUGCAUAGUUGACCUGUGAGGCUGAACGUCCAGACUGGAACUGAUGCACGGUCGAGAGUCCUACGGGAGGCAGCAGUAGGGAAGCUUACGCAAUAGGCGAAAACCUGACAGAGCAACGCCGCGUGAGUGAUGAAGAUCUUAGAGUGGUAGAACUCUGUUAUAAGGGAAGAACAAAUGUGUAAGUAACUAUGCACAUCUUGACGUUACCUAAUCAGAAAGACAAGGCGAACUACGUG
rnacentral:rRNA from 1 species